UUCUGGUUGAUCCCGCCGGACCUUACUGCUAUCGGGGUGGGACUAAGACAUGCGAGUCGAGCGUCUCUAGCUAUGUUGAGACGCGGCAUACGGCUCAGUAACACGUGGCUAACCUACCCUCAGGACAGGGACAACCCCGGGAAACUGGGGAUAAUACUCGAUAGGUGAGGAUGUCUGGAAUGACUUUUCUCCUAAAGGGCUUAGAUACAUGCUUCUAUGUCGCCUGGGGAUGGGGCCGCGCCCGAUCAGGUUGUUGGUGAGGUAACGGCUCACCAAGCCUAUAACCGGUACGGGCCGUGAGAGCGGUAGCCCGGAGAUGGGUACUGAGACAAGGACCCAGGCCCUACGGGGCGCAGCAGUCGCGAAAACUCCGCAAUGCACGAAAGUGUGACGGGGCUACCCCGAGUGCCAUCCGCUGAGGAUGGCUUUUCUUUGGUAUAACUAGCCAUUGGAAUAAGGAGAGGGCAAGACUGGUGUCAGCCGCCGCGGUAA
rnacentral:rRNA from 1 species